rnacentral:tRNA from 1 species
UGCCGCCCUCGGUGACGGUGCACACCACGUCGCUGCCGUCGAUGUGUUCGACGACCAGCCCGACGUUGCCGUCGUCGACCAGCACCC